GCGAGUAUGCUGAAAUUGGUAGCCAGGUAAAUCUUAGGAAUUUAUAUGCUUUUGUGUAUAAGAGUUCAAGUCUCUUUGCUCGUA
rnacentral:tRNA from 1 species